rnacentral:lncRNA from 1 species
GGAAACAGAAGAGUAUCUGAACAAGCACUUCCCAGGUUUUCUGUCUCACCAAGGAGGUAAGGACUGUACACCCUACUCUUACACCUGAAUCUCGGGACGAGAUUCUUUUUAAGAGGGGUAGGCUGUGACGACCGACCCCCAAAUCUCUUGAGUUAAUCUUAAUCCGAGCCCCUAAUCACCUGUCUUAGUUUUCCAAGCCUAAGUGUUCAACCUCCCGACCGGUCCCGACCCCUGAGACCCGACCCCUCUCCGCAGGCAUCCAGUUCCGACCCCGCCGACCCCAACUCACCCGCCGGAUCUUUCUAAGUCUUUCCCAACACCUCCUUUCUAUCUGACCGAUGGACCCACGAGAUCUUUUCCCCAGAUCUUCUGCGACAGGCGCACUCG